CUGACUUUGCUUGCCACUUCAGCUUUAAACCAUGGGGUUUUCAUUAAGAUGGUUGCUGUUAUCUUUGCUGGCUGUUGGAGGACAUCAAACAAAUGUCUUCAGAAUGAGAUCUGUUCACCAACAUGGAGAUGUGCCAGAUACAAGUAGCUCUGACUCUGAUGGUGUGCCAUCUGGACCCACUCACCUGGUUUAUUCAUCCCAAGGUGAAAUUACGCCAAAGACACACCAGCAUGUGCCAGUGCUGCACCAGAAUGUAUCGAUGCAUCAGCAUGUGCCACCACACCACUACCAUAAACAGGUGCCACCACAUCUUCAUGUGCCACAUCGACAGUACCAGCAACACCAUGUGGGAGAUGACCAUGGACCAUACCACCAGCACCACCA